rnacentral:rRNA from 1 species
CCCUUAGAUGUUCUGGGCCGCACGCGCGCUACACUGAUGCAUUCAACGAGUUUUACCUUGGCCGAGAGGCCUGGGCAAUCUUUUAAACCUGCAUCGUGAUAGGGAUAGAUUAUUGCAAUUAUUAGUCUUGAACGAGGAAUUCCUAGUAAGCACAAGUCAUCAGCUUGUGUUGAUUACGUCCCUGCCCUUUGUACACACCGCCCGCCGCUCCUACCGAUUGAAUGUUCCGGUGAGCUCUUCGGACUGCGCGGUCUGCAGUUUCUGCGUUCCGUGCGGAAAGUUGCGCAAACCUUAACAUUUAGAGGAAGGAGAAGUCGUAACA